rnacentral:rRNA from 1 species
AUGCUCCAGCAGGUAGAAGGAGCUGAGCUCGGCGGCGGGCAGGCCACCGGUGAACUUGUUCCGGCUCAGCACCACCGACGCCACCUUCCUCCCGAGCCGCGGGAACGCCGGGCCGAGCGAGUUGCCGCCGACGUCGAGCACCUGGAGGCUCGCGAGGCCGCGCAUGUCGGGGAGGUUCCCGGAGAGGUUGUUGGAGGCGAGCACGAGCGAGCGCAGCGACGGCGCCCUCCCGAGCGACUCCGGCACGGCGCCGGCCAGCGAGUUGUUCCGCAGGCUGAGCACGGCAAGCGCCGGCAGCGCGGUGCCGACCCAGCCCGGCACCUCGCCGCCGAUCAUGUUGUCGUCGAGGAUGAGCGUCUGCAGGCCCUGGAGCCGCGAGAGGCCCCUCGGGAUGGGCCCGUAGAGGUAGUUGCGGCUCAUGUUGACGAUCUCCAGCCCGGCGAGCCGCUCCAGCUUCCCCGGCAAGGGGCCCCAGAGGCCGAGGCCGGAGAGCGUGAGCACCCUGAGGUCGGGGAGCCUGGACAGCGUGGUGACCAGCGCGCCAAGGGAGAAGUUGAGCGGGAGCGGCGGCGCGCCCUGUGCGGCGCCCUCGACGUGGAGCUGCGUGACGGUGUCCCCGUAGCAGACGACGGAGGCGGAGGGGGCGACGGUGCCGCCGCCGCCGCAGAAGUCGGUGGUGCGGCGCCAGUGCCGGAGCGCCGGCGGCCGGCCCAGCAGGUGCUGCACCUUGAGCAGGGUCCACGUCUGGGAGGCCUGCAGCAGCGGCGCGCCCCCCGGGAGCAGCACGGCCAAGAAAACCAACCCCAGCAAGCAGCCCGGGCCAGCCGCCGCCAUUGCCGGCCAAGAAGACGACGACGAUUCCUUCAGCGACACCGCUCGACCGAUCGAUCGGCAAGAACCGGCGGAGCGAAAAGACGAUCAGAUUAA